GAUGAACGCUGGCGGCGUGCCUAAUACAUGCAAGUCGAGCGAACGGACGAGAAGCUUGCUUCUUUGAUGUUAGCGGCGGACGGGUGAGUAACACGUGGAUAACCUACCUAUAAGACUGGGAUAACUUCGGGAAACCGGAGCUAAUACCGGAUAAUAUUUUGAACCGCAUGGUUCAAAAGUGAAAGACGGUCUUGCUGUCACUUAUAGAUGGAUCCGCGCUGCAUUAGCUAGUUGGUAAGGUAACGGCUUACCAAGGCAACGAUGCAUAGCCGACCUGAGAGGGUGAUCGGCCACACUGGAACUGAGACACGGUCCAGACUCCUACGGGAGGCAGCAGUAGGGAAUCUUCCACAAUGGGCGAAAGCCUGACGGAGCAACGCCGCGUGAGUGAUGAAGGUCUUCGGAUCGUAAAACUCUGUUAUUAGGGAAGAACAUAUGUGUAAGUAACUGUGCACAUCUUGACGGUACCUAAUCAGAAAGCCACGGCUAACUACGUG
rnacentral:rRNA from 1 species